CCCUUAGAUGUUCUGGGCUGCACGCGCGCUACAAUGAUAGACUCAAAGAGUUUUCAAAAAAAGGAUAUGAUUUUAUUUCGUAUUCUAUAUUUCCUUGAUCGAGAGAUCUGGGUAAUCUUUUUUGAAAUUCUAUCAUGUUAGGGAUUGAUGAUUGCAAUUAUUCAUCAUAAACGAGGAAUGCCUUGUAAGUGCUUUUCAUCACAAAGUGCUGAAUACGUCCCUGCCCUUUGUACACACCGCCCGUCGCUUCUACCGAUUGAAUUAAAUGAUGAAGUUUUCGGAUUUGAACUGAGCAUUUUCAAAGGGAUUUAUUCCUUUGUUAUCAGAUCAACAAAGUCUAUUGAAUCUUUUUAUUUAGAGGAAGAAGAAGUCGUAACA
rnacentral:rRNA from 1 species